UUAAUGUGGGUUAUCUUGCUCACAUAAACCAUAUUCUGUCCCUGACGGACAAGGUUGGAUAAAUGACGAGUGUUACUUGGAGUGACAUUUUAUACAGGAACCUCUGUGGACAUUGCAUUGAUGGUGUUCGAGGAAGCGAGUGAGUGGGCAUCCAGUGGGGCCAGGUGAGGGCAGUUAAUGGUCAGGGUGGUAGGAUAGCUGUGCUUCUUAGAGCAUAGGUGAGGAUGCGGCCAGAAUGGUGACCCAGACGAUGAUAGAACUGUGGUGGAGAAACACAGGUGGAUGAGGAACCUGCCUACUCACCCAGUUCCAGCCAGUCUCCCUGGGAAGGCAGCCAUCCUUUUGCCUCUUCUCUAUUGUCACCCACUUCCUAGCACCACAAGAAGUACCAGCAUAUCCACCAGAAGUCGUUUUGCUGCCCUGAGCCGGCUUGUGGGAAGUCCUUCAACUUUAAAAAGCACCUGAAGGAGCAUGUGAAACUACACAGCGAUGCCAGGGACUACAUCUGUGAAUUCUGUGCCCGAUCUUUCCGCACUAGCAGCAACCUUGUCAUCCACAGACGGAUCCACACGGGAGAGAAGCCCCUGCAGUGAGUGCCAGGGGCCAUGGAGGGAGUGAUUAUCUGGCAGGCAGGGAGUGGGCAGCAGAACCUCCAGGGAGGUGAAGGUGGACCGAGGCUCCUUCCU
rnacentral:lncRNA from 1 species